GACGAACGCUGGCGGCGUGCCUAAUACAUGCAAGUAGAACGCUGAAGGAGGAGCUUGCUUCUCUGGAUGAGUUGCGAACGGGUGAGUAACGCGUAGGUAACCUGCCUGGUAGCGGGGGAUAACUAUUGGGAACGAUAGCUAAUACCGCAUAAUAGCAGUUGUUGCAUGACAACUGUUUGAAAGGUGCAAUUGCACCACUACCAGAUGGACCUGCGUUGUAUUAGCUAGUUGGUGGGGUAACGGCUCACCAAGGCGACGAUACAUAGCCGACCUGAGAGGGUGAUCGGCCACACUGGGACUGAGACACGGCCCAGACUCCUACGGGAGGCAGCAGUAGGGAAUCUUCGGCAAUGGACGGAAGUCUGACCGAGCAACGCCGCGUGAGUGAAGAAGGUUUUCGGAUCGUAAAGCUCUGUUGUAAGAGAAGAACGAGUGUGAGAGUGGAAAGUUCACACUGUGACGGUAUCUUACCAGAAAGGGACGGCUAACUACGUG
rnacentral:rRNA from 1 species